AGUUCUUCAUAGCGUCUUUAACUUCCAAACUAGCAACAUCUGCAAUUGACCGCGCGUGUGUGACCGCGAACGACAUGUACGUGAUGGUGGUUGGCGCCAAAGGGGACGAGUGUCUUCCGGACGACGAGCAGGUGGACCCAGAGCGUCGGAUACCGGAGAAACUCGGACCCCGGCGAGAUUCAAAACGGAUGAAACGAGGUACGUGGGAUUCUGAUAGCUUUAACACUCUUUUCGAUCAAAUGAGCAUUCUCGCGAAUCUCUAUA